rnacentral:pre_miRNA from 1 species
AACUGGAAAUGGGGAAGUGGAGAAACAACACUUGCUAAAGGAAGUUCACCAGUCAUCUCUUUUCUUUUGGAGUUUUUUUAGCAAGAGUUGUUUUACCUCUUCUCAAUUCCGUCUCUC